UACGUAGGGGGCAAGCGUUGUCCGGAAUCAUUGGGCGUAAAGCGCGUGUAGGCGGUUCGGUAAGUCGGCUGUGAAAGUCCAGGGCUCAACCCUGGGAUGCCGGUCGAUACUGCCGGACUAGAGUUCGGAAGAGGCGAGUGGAAUUCCCGGUGUAGCGGUGAAAUGCGCAGAUAUCGGGAGGAACACCAAUGGCGAAGGCAGCUCGCUGGGACGUUACUGACGCUGAGACGCGAAAGCGUGGGG
rnacentral:rRNA from 1 species